CCAGAACAGGACAGACUGCUCUACAUGCAGGACUGCCAAGUAAAGGACAAUGCUCCCUCAGACCUCCUGGCUAUGCCCAAGGUGGUCUCGACCUCCAAAGCAGAAGAGAAGAGGCAACGAGAAAGCUCUGCAGGAGACAGGAACCGUGUUGUGUCCCGGAAUCCCAGUGUCCUCAUCACCCUGUUUGGAGAGCUGGCUGGUGUGUACCCCAGAUUUCAUCUGGACAACGUGUGUGCUUUCCAUGUCUGAAGACACCAGGACACAGAGGUCUUAAAGAACAAUUUGAGGUACCUUGGAAACCAUCUGGUGCUCUCUGCAAUAAUUCUCCUGGUCUGGUCUGGAGUGACUUCUGAAAUACUGAUAGUACUACUUACCUGAAUUCAGGUGAUGCUUCAAUGUGUUUACCACCUCCAGGCUACCUUCUCCACCCCUUCUACAGAGCCUAGUACAAUUUCUAAGUGUUGAAUAUUUUAAAUAAGGUUGAACCACCCUGGAAUUGAUGUUAGUUUUGCUGAUGCCUGACAAAAAGGAGCGUACAAGCUGAAAAACACAAAAUUGAUUUCACAUUUGUUUGCAGCAGCACGACAGAAAAACGCAGUGGAUUGGAAACAAAAGGAAGUUCUAUGUGUAGAAGAAAGAGGCUGAAAGGAUGUUUGGAAGUGAUGAUAAUGGAAAAGUUAACUGAUGUCAGAAGUGAUUACACGGGAGGCUUCUAGGCAGUAUGGCUGCCUCUCUACAACUAUAUUCAGCAAAGUUCAGCAAUAUCCAUUGCCUGAUGCCCCCAGCUGCCACUGCAUUCCUUCACACUUUUGCAAAUGCUGGCUAAUAUAACAUUUUCCUGCUCUGCUGCUUAAAGGACACAUAUCAAAAAGAUGGCUUAAUUUCCAAAAGGCUCUGAUGUGUAAUAUGAAAAUAGUGUCACAUGCAAGAUAAAACUGAAUAUCAAAAGUCGUUAAACAUCUUAGUUUUCAAAUGACAAAAACUGAACUGUGUGCAUGAAAGUCUAAUCAACAGAGCUGAGGAGAAGUUUUGUGAUCCAACGUUUUCACAUAAGAAAAUGCAGAUUUGAACAUCACAGGGACAGAGGGAAAGGACAAAAA